UCCAGGAGCCAUAUCACCCUGCAACUCCCAACUGGGUAAACCUGAAGCUAAGCAGGUGUGAGCCUGGUCAGUACCUGAAUGGCAGACCUCCUUGGAAAAACUAAGGUUACUGCUGGAA
rnacentral:rRNA from 1 species